rnacentral:rRNA from 1 species
UCAUGGCUCAGAGCGAACGCUGGCGGCAGGCCUAACACAUGCAAGUCGAACGAACUCUUCGGAGUUAGUGGCGGACGGGUGAGUAACACGUGGGAACGUGCCUUUAGGUUCGGAAUAACUCAGGGAAACUUGUGCUAAUACCGAAUGUGCCCUUCGGGGGAAAGAUUUAUCGCCUUUAGAGCGGCCCGCGUCUGAUUAGCUAGUUGGUGAGGUAAAGGCUCACCAAGGCGACGAUCAGUAGCUGGUCUGAGAGGAUGAUCAGCCACAUUGGGACUGAGACACGGCCCAAACUCCUACGGGAGGCAGCAGUGGGGAAUCUUGCGCAAUGGGCGAAAGCCUGACGCAGCCAUGCCGCGUGAAUGAUGAAGGUCUUAGGAUUGUAAAAUUCUUUCAGUAGGGACGAUAAUGACGGUACCUACAGAAGNNGCCCCGG